UAGUAUUUAGUUUUAUAACAUAAGAUUUUGAUUCUUAAAAUAAUGGGGACAUUAAUACUAA
rnacentral:tRNA from 1 species